rnacentral:tRNA from 1 species
GCCCGGGUGGUGGAAUUGGUAGACACGCUGGUCUUAGAAGCCAGUACCGAGAGGUGUGCAGGUUCAAGUCCUGUCCCGGGUACCA